AUCAACGCUGGCGGGCGUGCCUAACACAUGCAAGUCGAACCGCGGUUAGUAGCAAUACUAACUGAGUGGCGAACGGGUGAGUAACCACGUGGGUGACCUACCUUCUAGUGGGGGAUAACGUCCCGAAAGGGACGCUAAAUACCGCAUAACAUCCUGCCCUUGAACGGGUGGAGAUCAAAGCCGGGGAUCGUAAGACCUGGCGCUGGAUGAGGGGGCCCGCGUCCGAUUAGCUAGUUGGUGAGGUAACGGCUCACCAAGGCGACGAUCGGUAGCCGGGCCUGAGAGGGCGGACGGCCACACUGGGGACUGAGACCACGGCCCCAGACUCCUACGGGAGGCAGCAGUGGGGAAUUGUUCGCAAUGGGCUAACGCCUGACGCAGCAAACGCCGCGUGGAGGAUGAAGGUCCUUGGAUUGUAAACUCCUGUCGACCGGGAAAAAAAGCGGACUCGACCUAACACGUCGGGGAGUUGAUUGUACCGGUGGAGGAAGCCCCGGCUAACUCUGUGCCAGCAGCCGGCGGUAAUACAGAGGGGGCAAGCGUUAUUCGGAAUUAUUGGGCGUAAAGGGCGCGUAGGCGGCCUGGCAAGUGGAAGGUGAAAUCCCUCGGCUUAAACCGAGGAACUGCCCUCCAAACUGCUUGGCUUUGAGUCCCGGGAGAGGUGAGUGGAAUUCCCAGUGUAGCGGUGAAAUGCGUAGAUAUUGGGAGGAACACCAGUGGCGAAGGCGGCUCACUGGACCGGAAACUGACGCUGAGGGCGCGAAAGCGUGGGGAGCAAAACGGGAUUAGAUACCCCGGUAGUCCACGCCCGUAAACGAUGAGUGCUUGGUGUAGCGGGUUAUCGACCCCUGCUGUGCCGAAGUCAACACAUUAAGCACUCCGCCUGGGGAGUAACGGGUCGCAAGGCUGAAACUCAAAGGAAUUGACGGGGGGCCCCGCACAAGCGGUGGAGCAUGUGGUUUUAAUAUUUCGAAGCAACGCGAAGAACCUUACCUGGGUUUGAACUGCAGUGGUAAGCCUCAGAGAUGAGGUCCCCUCUUCGGAGGUCGCUGUAGAGGUGCUGCAUGGCUGUCGUCAGCUCGUGUCGUGAGAUGUUGGGUUAAGUCCCGCAACGAGCGCAAACCCUUGCCCAUAGUUGCUAACCGCGUAGUGGCGAGAACUCUAUGGGGACUGCCGGUGAUAAACCGGAGGAAGGUGGGGAUGGACGUCAAGUCCCUCAUGGGCCUUUAUGUCCAGGGCUACAACACGUGCCUACAAUGGAUGGUACAAAGAGUCGCGAUGGCCGUUGAGGUGGAGCUAAUCUCAAAAAAACCAUUCUCAGUUCGGAUUGCACUCUGCAACUCGAGUGCAUGAAGCUGGAAUCGCUAGUAAUCGCGGAUCAGCACGCCGCGGUGAAUACGUUCCCGGGCCUUGUACACACCCGCCCCGUCACAUCACGAAAGUCGGUUGCACUAGAAGUCGGUGGGCUAACCCGCAAGGGGGGGCAGCCGCCUAAAGUGUGAUCGGUAAUUGGGGUG
rnacentral:rRNA from 1 species